CAACCUGUAUGACUUGUGUGUAUCCAGCAGUGUGUUUUGGAUACACCAAAAGAUUUUUGGUCAAAAAAAUCUUUGUUACCAAUUUAAAGUUUCUGGAGAGAUCCCCACACAGAGAUGCUCUGGUGUUUCUGAUAGCCUGUGCUUGGCUGCAUUGGGUCACUUGCUGCUGGUGCAGGCAGUAACCAUGUGUACAAACAAAAAUGGUAUAAAAAGACUCUGCUAAACACUUCCCAAGAUGGAGUGAAUCCUACUGGAUAAAUCUGCUCUUUCCCAGUACAACACAGCAUGUCAUGCAGCUUCUUGUCAUGCUGGCAUUCUCCUUACCAUCUUUCCCUGGUUUGUUCCUCCUGUUCCAGUCUGUCACCUGCCUUAGUGAGUCAAAGAAGUAGUCUGCUUCGUUCUGACUGAUCACCUGCAGGGGCCAAGCAAUGAAGGAGAGAAAGGAGGGAUUAGCACAUCAUAUAAAAUACUGCCAGUGCCAACAUCCCCAAAUAUCAGGCUGAAUUUUCUUUCCCUGUCUACAGUAAGAGGGCAGAAUUACAGCAGGAAAGACAGGGGCAAGGGGAAAGAAGUAGAGAAAUAGGAGAAGAAUGGUUCAAUUUAUUUACAUUUUGUAUGGGGACUUUUAUUGCAUCCUGUUUUUCUUUUUGCUUUCGAAGUCAAGCUGGAGAUGCCUACCUUAUUCUCAGCUUAUUCUCCUCUUUGUAAAAUAUUGUCACGUACUGGGUUCCUCUUUUCAGGAAGGCAGCACAUCAGAAACUCCCUGUGCUUGGGCUCACUGCUACUUUUGCCUUGGUCACAGUUCCAGAGAGAAGGGACCUCUCAGCAAGGCAGCCAGACCAAGCUUCAGUUCAAGCAAGGCAAGCUCCUGACAAACUAGAGAGCAAUCAACUGGUGCUGGUUGCCCUUGCUCUCCUUAAUCCCAGUGGGCACUGUGUAUGUGCAGCACAACUCCUGGGAAAAGCCUGAGUGGAAAAGGGCUGAAUCCAGCACUAGGCAACAUCCAACUUGCAACAAUCUCAGCAGCUGCUAGAAAGCCCAUGUCUUCUCUGCUUUUAGUACCACCUAAGUAUUGGCAGGCUGAUAGAAACUUGCAUCUCCAUCCAGCCCCUUCAGGAGAUUUAAAAUAAUUGUCUGGUGCUAAAAGUUUGAGUCUAGGUAAGACUCAGUAAGACAGAAGCAGUAAUGACCUGCUCUGGUCUUUGGCUUCAUGUGGUUGUUUAGGUAGUCUGGUAAAUAAGUAAGAGAGGAGGGAGAGUCUGGCCACAGUUGAGAAGAGUUACCUUGUCUGCAAUCUUCACAAAGAGGCUGAAACCUUCCCAGGAGCUCAGCUGCAAUUUAGAAGCGAUGUUCUGACACAGAGUCCGGAUCUUGGUGUUUGUUCCCACAUCAAAUGUCUAUGAGAUAACAAGACUCUUGUUAGAGAGGAAGAAGAGCACUGAAUGUCUUCAAACAUGCUCCUGGGUGAACACAUCAAGGCUGGAAAAAUGGUCAAGGCUGGGAAAACAAGUAAGUGCUCACCUGUUGUGUUUCAUUGGGGAAGCAAAUCUUGUGUGAGAUCUUAGUGUUGUUCUGUAAGAUGGCCUCAACCUCCACAGGAUGAGGUGCCCACUUCCUGCAGCCACUCCUGGAAAAUACCACCACCAUCAUAAGAGAGAUCAGUGCUGGAUGUUUAAUCAUUGAGGAGCUGAACAACAGUAUUCCAGCUGAACAACAGACUCCACUCAAAGUGCUGGUGCUGUGUGGUGGGGCAGGCUCCAAUGGACCUUCACCCCAGUGAAAUUCAGUAUAUUAAUAGCAAGAAACUGAGAGUCUCAUUAGAAAAUAUAUUAAAAGCAUAUUCUACUCUGCAACAAGAUUGCAUGAACAAGGCACCUUCCUAGCCAGUACCAUUGCCCCUUCUAUAGAUUCAGCAGCAUUUUUCCUUACUGAAGUGUGAAGAUAAUGGCUACAAGGAGAAAUACAUUUUAUUUAAUUCUUGCAUCAAGAAAAGAUGUAUUCAGAUUCAAAAUUACUUAAAGCACAGAAGGCAAGUACCAAAAAGGUUUGGAGGGCUCCUGAAAGUGUUUUAUAUAAGAGCUGGAGUGCAAUCAUUGACUCAGGAGCUGCUAAGCUGUACAAACCCAGUUCUUUGAAAUUAUACCUCAGAGCAGAGCUGCUUUUUAAAGCAAAGGAACUGGCCCUGAAGUCUGAGUCAUGCCAAAACCUUGACACAGUUAAAGUGAGGAGAAAUCUAGCACAUUACCUCCUGGGGCUGGUAUAUUCCUACCCUCGGUGGCCCAGAGCAGGCUGUUCAGAGGUUUUGUACACGGUAACUUAUGGGCCAAACUCCUCUCACACUGGGUCAGUCUCUCAGGAAGAGGUUAGUCUGGAUCCAGCUUCAGUUGUGUAGAGUUGAAAACUAAUAUUUUUUUCCAUUCAAUAAAGUAGCAGUUUCAUUUGGAGAAGGAAAACCUGACUGUUCAGCCAAGCUGAGCAGCAUGUGCAGGUAUUGUACGGAGUGUGGACCUUCCCUAUUCAGUCACCUGUUCCUGAACUGGCAUCACAAGGAGCUCAAGGAAGUGCAGCAGCUUGGCUGGAGAGGCACAGGGCCACCUCUCUUUGCAGCCUGAGCUAGGAAUUCAUUGCCAAGGUGAGAUCAGUGGCCAGGAUUCUGGGGAUGAAGCUGUAAAGCUGUUUAUGGAGGAAAAAGUAGGUACCCAAGGGCUCAGUUGGCCUCCCCUGAAUGUAUCAUAGGUCAGUCCUUUGAGCUGACUGCCCUCCCCUUUCCAAAGAGAGCAGGUUACUUAUAGGGAGAAGUUUGACUAGAUGAUUGUUGAAGGCUCCUUCCAACUGAAAUAGUCUUUUCUGUUCUAUUCUAUUCUAUGCUAUGCUAUUCUGUGCUGUUCUGUGCUGUUCUAAACAGGUGCAGCUUUAAUCUUAUGAAAAGAACUGCACUUAGAAGACAAGAUUUGUCUUCGUUCCUCUUCCCAUCCCCCAAGCUCCAGAUCUGGGGAAGUUCAGCAAAUAGAAUUCUCCUCCCAAACGGCCCAUUCUGCUUUCCCCUCCCUGUUUGCCCUCUCAAAAGCAGCUCUGUGAAGCUCAACGGGGCUUAGAGCAUGAAUAGCACAUGAUAUAGGGAGGCAGGAAUUUUCAAGUCUUCUCCAUAGAAAUAAACAAUGAAUAGCAUUCCUUGCCAUGCAUUUUUCAGGGACUUCAAAGGCGAGUUCAAUGUGUGGUGUCAUUUCCUCAGCAGUGCCAAAAUCCAUGCACUGCAAGGGGGUUAUCCACUGUGUUAGCAUUCCCUUAGAGCCUGACCCACAGGGCUCACAGACCAAACAUGGGGCUCAGCCUGAGAGAGGGAAGGAUGGAGGAGCUGCAAGGAGAAAUCAUUGAGCAGCUUCUUUACUGAUGAGGACUGUGGCAAGCAGGUGGUAAAUCACAGCAUCAUCAAAAGGGAGGAGGCUGGAGUCAACCUUGAUGCCAAACUCUGUUCUCAGAGUGGUAAGCUGGGUAAUUCCAGUGCCUGGAGGAAUCUAGGGAAACCUUCCCCCUACAGUUCAGUUGAUCCUUCCUGAAAUCCGGGUAGCCCUUCUAUUCUCUCUGGUUGUGUCAUGUCCAUUAGAACAACAAGUUAUUCAGAAGCUCAGGAAGCACUGUGGUUUGGGGGCCACGUUGCUUCAACCCUCACCAGGCUCAGGUAAUGCCAAGUGGAUGGAAAAGUGCCUUGCUCUGAGCCAGGUAAAUGUCAGGGCUUUGCUCAUUUGGAUUUCUUCAAAGAGAAGAAUUGAUUGUAUUGAUCUUCUCCUCCCAGCAUGGAUCUGCUUUACUUCACCAUCAGAAAACCAACAGAGCCAUAGUAGCACUCUGCAGAUAGCAAUGACUUUAGUGGUGCCCCUCCACUAUGAGUAAAACAUACUACUGUUGUAUUUUUAGCUGCACGUGUGCAGCUCUUUGCUACUGAGAGUCAACAAACUCCAAACUAAUCCUCAGGCACAUGCAAGAGAAACAAGGACGUGCUGCCUCACCAAAGAAAAGUAAGGUCAGGACAUCAUCAAUGAUGUCAUUUCAAGCUGCAUGCUGUAUUUAAAACACUCAGGUUUGAAAUACCAAGCUUUUGGAGUCAAGUGGUUAUGUGUGAUGAUGAACUUUUAAAAAAUGCUGCUAACUCUGUGAAAGAAAAAAGUGAAACUGGGACACAGAUCACUUUUAGUGGUUCAAAGCCCAUAAAGAGUUAAAAAUAAUUAUCACUUAUAAAAAAGAGGCUGUAAAGAGGGAAAGGAAAGUAAGAGUCAUAUUAUUUUAGCCCUUGUGGUUUUUGGAGCCUGACUGUUGAUUUUUGAACACUUUGAGCUGGUUAUCUGCCAGAUCAUUUACCUCAUUACUGUCUGAAUCCUCCGACGGCACGCUGGGGCCAGUGUUUCUUUCUGACGUGUCUCUAUGAACUUCUGGGCAUGUUUGAGCAGUGACUUGCUGGGUGGGAAGAGGCCAGUGCAGAGCCAGAGGAGCUGCCAGCCCCUGGUCACGCUGUACCUGUGAACACAAAGCAAACAGUUCUGCUACAGCCACACGUAAUUCUCUGUUUGACCACACACCAACCACAGGGAAGAGAAACACACUCCCAUCAUGGUGCCAUUCAGCAAAGAGCUGCAAAUCAACAGAGCCUUCACACAGGCUCUGGCAGUCAUUUGCUGUGUAACAACCACGGCCUGCAUGUGAAAACAGUGCUGAGUUCUGCAUGAGCAAUACUUGUGACAGUUGCAAGUCUCAUGAAUAAAUAUAAGCUUCAGGUUAACAGACAUCUGGGCAGCAGUGACCCUGGUGCCAUCCUCUUGGAAAGCCAUUUGCUGCUCAAGCUCAUGUGCAUUCGGAUUGUGGUUUCUCAGUGGUUUGUAGUCACCUGCCCUCUGCACUGGUGAGUUUUGCUCAGGGCACAAGCACUUCACAUGCACUGGUUUCCCCUCACAUGUGCUCCUGUUCUGAAAAAUGAACAUGUAGAUGGCACUGUGUAAUGUGGUAGUUAGAGUUCUUCAACACCCCACAUCAAGUUGGUACCAUUUUCAGGCAGAAACCCGGUUCUUCCAGCCUCUGCACCUGUGGAAUCUGCCAGUUGAAGUUCUGGCACCUUGCCCUCACCAGUAAGAAAGGCUCUGCAGCCUGGAGGUGGUCAGUCGUUCUGCCUUCAAAGCGAGGAGCAGAACACACUUCAGUUGUGUCCCAGGAUUACUCUGAAAUACUCAGUGGUGUGAAGUGGUUUUGUUUGGGAAAGUCAGCAUGUCUGGCUCUGAAAGGGCACCAGACUUUGCUGAAUAAAGAGAUCCUUGCUUGUCUAUUCCCAUUUACUAUUCUCAUUUUGCAGAUGAAGACACGCUAUUUUAAUCUCUUUUAUACUAUAUAGAUGAGUGGUGUUUGUGUCUGUGCGAGAACGGGACAUGGUCCACAGCACAGCAGCCUGGGAAGGAUGAAAGAUUUGUUGCUCUGGCUGUUCUAAUGAAAGUAUAUGGAAAUAGCCACCUUUCAAGCAUUGUUUUUUCCACAUCAGUGAUCCCGCUCUAAACAGCGACUAAAUUGGUGGAGCACAUCAGGCAUGGCUCUGGCACCAUGGUUACAGGCUAUGCAUUAAAUAGCCUGUAAGAUUUGCUGCCUGCAAGGAAAUGUAACAGUCAAUGAUUACAAACAUGGUAAAGGUUCCACUAGGAGCAAUACUUGUGGAACAGUAAGAAAGAAAAUAAAUAAAUGGAAGCUCCUUCUAUAACUUUUGCAGUGACACAAUGCAGCCAGAAACAGACAAACCAUUUUGUUAAUAAUUAGUAUGAUUUUAAGCUUCUUUUGGCAAUUGAUUUCCCCUGGAAGUAGGUCAAAUUCUCAUUUUGUGAGUGGGGAAGAAAACACCAGCCUGUUUCAGAGACUUUAUGUGGGCAGAGGCCUGUGAAACCAAUCUGUUCUGCAAGGCAGUUGUGUAACCUAAUUAUUAUAACCAAAGUAUUUAUUCACUGGUGGUAAAAAUCUAGUGUGAACUAUGUGCUUAUGAAGGGAAAUGCUGCCAUUGGGAAACUUGAAUGGAGGGUUAGCAGGGCAGUCACUGGUGGGAUGCAAGGACUAUGCAGUGUCGUAUUUUCUGCACAGACUGCCUUGGGAGCAAGAGAGCCUCAGAAACACCUUGCCUGCCUCACACUGUGCUGCACAGACAGGAGUAUGGAAUGCUGAUGGGAGCAAAGCAGCAGCUCAGGGGAGAUGAAUGGUGUUCUGUGGCCUCUCACUGCCAGGCAGGGGUCCCGAGUGCUCCACAAAGGUGAGUCCCACAGCACUGCCUGGCACAAGGGAAAGUGUGACUCCAACCAUCCUUCCCCUCUGUUCCCGAUCCCCACCUGCACUUGAGGCCUGGCUCUGCGAGGAGCAGGGGGUUUGCACCCAGGGGAAUACCUGUUUCUGUUCUCAGUCAGUUGCUUCAUAAUCUGACAGUAAAUCUCAUCCCGCAGGACCUCCUCCUGGAUAGCUGCCACAAAUAUCUGGUCAGUGACUUCCACGGAGGAGUGUGCCUGUUUGGAGGGAUAGUCUCCCAUGAACUUCAUGAUGGGUGAAUGUGCUGUUAAGGAGAAAAGCAGGCCAGUUUUGGAAGGCAAAUGUCCUUCCAGGAAUGUCACCACCAGUUCAGCAAUGGCGACGCUGUUUACAGAUGUCAGGACAAACUCCUCAGCACGAAGUGUGAUGAGUGUGCAACUCUGUCCAAAUGACUUCACUGCCCUAUGUUUUAAUGAACAAUUGGUUACCAGAGCAUCUGAAAAGCUUAGAGACCCAUCUGCAAACACAGCCAAGGCACCUCUACACCUCCUUGCAGAUAACUCCCUUACAGCGAGUAUCGGGAGCUCUUAAUUUGCCCUCCCAUGAACUGGUAGGUGUGAAGGUCUGAAGUGGUUCAGCUUUACUCUGGACUCCAUCAUGUUUUGUACAAAAGUGCUUCAUUACAGACAAACGAACAUCCUUCUUUUGGAGUAACCAGGCAGCUAAGUGAAUCUCUGACAGUCCUCACAGGGGGUUUUUUUCAUGUAUGUAAGACCCUCUUCUCUGAGUGACACAAGGAUGUGUGCCCUGAGCUAGCCAGUGGUUAUCCUCUUUCCCUUGUUAUCCCAUUCAGGUCCAUGACACCUGAGAAGUAAAUGAACUCCCAGCAUGCACAGCAGACAGUGGCUUAACGAUGUCAGUUAUUUGGGCUGUUCUUGUCUUUAUGCUUAUCUGUGCUUCCUUACACCUUUUUGACUGAGGAGGAUCACGUUCCAUCAGCUGGAAGGAUCUAACCAUUUCAGUAUUUCCUUUAUAGGCUUCUCAGAAGCUUUCCCUUUCUGUUUCCCAGGCCUAGGCUAAGCCACCUUUCCAGGCACAGAUCAAAUCACCUAAGGAGAUGGCAGAGAAAGUACAUGCUUUCUGAGUAUGGAAAAGAUGCCUUCUGCAGAUAUUGUCUUUCUGGGGCCUUCACCUGUUGGUGUGGAUGCCAGUUAUCUCUGGGAAGGUCAGCUCAAGGAGCCGCUUUUCUGACUCAUCCAAGAAGCAGAUACCUUUCCAAUUUAUAGCAACGAUGAAGUGGUUCUUAGGCAAGCUGGGCCCUGAAAAUACAGAAAAAGAUCCUUAGCAAUGCUAUACAAGUCUUCUUCUAUUGAUCUUAUAGCUGUCCUCUACUUCCCAGGCUCCAGGUAUUACCUGAAAACUUAGUGACUUCAAAGAAUCGGGAAAAAAGCAAAGGCCAGUGAAAGCGAGCAAAAUCUACAAGUUGCUCCUUCACAGUCUGAGAGGAGAGACGGUCCUGUGUGUAUGGGGCCUGCAGGAUAAAAACACACCCGAGGUUUUCUCAGUAAAAUGGGGUUUGCAUGAUCUGCAGACAAUAAAGAGCGAGCCUGAUCCCAGAGAUUCCCAACAACCCUCUGCUGUCACAGGUGCCAAGGCUACCUGGCGUAAGUAAAUCAGGAACAGUCUCCAGAGGCCCAAGCCACAUGCAGCUAAGAUUGCCCACAGGCAUGCAGAUUCCAAAUUUCCCCCCAGUCCACACUGACUUACCUGUUUAGAGUCUAACACACUUUGGGUGCCAUGGAAAUAAUUCAGGUAAUCCAUUUCUAGAUCAAAACCAAUAUUCCAUCCCACAUUCAUCCUGACUUGGUUGCCUUAAAAGCUAAUCUAUUUAGAGAUUUAAAUGUACUUUUUCAUUCUGCCCCCCUGCUGAGUCUUAAAUGGAAGAGUGAGUGGAAAGGUUCUCUGCUGCCCCAGCCCUGACAAGCUAUUUGGGAUAUACGAACUGAGCUGGGUUUUAUUCUUCCCCCUACAGACUAUUCGAAAGUGGAAAUGGUAAAAGAAGCAGAAGCUGGUGCUCAAGAGUGGUUACCCAGCACUGCCAGACAAACCUCUUACCUUAGCAUGUGCAUAGGUUAUAAGGCUCACCCACUUUUCCAGGGGCUUGGACUUCAGCUGUUUCACUGGGAUACAGUCAUGGAGCACCUUCUGCACAAGUUCAUUGUGGAUGGAGUCUCCAAAUUGGAUAUAACAAUAUUUUGCACCUAUUUCCACCAAAUCCUCCUCCUGAAACAAUUAAUCCAUUAAAAGAGGCCUAGAAAGAUGUCAAAAAGGCUAGAUAGCCUCAUUCAACCUUGAAGCCAGUUUAGGAAUGGGGUUUUCUCCAUUUUUGUCUAGAAAACUCUUAAGAGUCAUCCAGUAUAAGGAGGGGUGAACUUCACACAAUCAUAGCAUCAGAGAAAUUAUUAGCAUAGAUAUUUUAAAAUAAGACCCAGUUUGCCCCUUUGGACAUGCCUCCUGCUGCCACAUAAACUGAAAGUUGCAGGAAAAAAUACUAAUUAGAGCUGCCAGUGUGACAUCUGGCCCAAUCACCUGGACAGGAAUUGUUCACCGAGAAGGGAAGGAUUGCCCACAUCCACUGCAAACUUAGUUCAUCUUCAUGCUUUUUUUAACGUGGGAAGUGUUAAUAUAGUUCUGACUCUUGGAGAUGAAUCGGGAGACCCACCUUCUCACAGCGGUACUCCCCAAACCGGACGCCGCGAAUGACUUGGUGGUAAAUGAGAUCCGUGCUGACAGGAUCCUCCUGGGAGUUGUGCCAGGGGGUGAAGAUUUCCUUGCGGAAGUAGAGGCGCCAGGGCGCGUGGCGCUCGUGGGUGCCCCGCUCCCUCACCAGCUGCUCACACUGGGAGAUGGCAUCCAGGACGUGAUCCCGGCCCCCGCCCAGCGACCACACCUGCCACGAAGGGACACUGCAUUACUGGCAUGCCUGCCCUGGGGCUGAGGGAAGGACCACAGGCACGAAGCUCCUGGUCUCCCCGACAGCAGGAAAACCUCUGAAAAGAUAAGCAGGUGGGUGUGCAAGUUGUAUGUGGUAAGUGGAUGUGUUUUUAUUAGUCAGUUAUGUGACCUGGCAAAGGAAACCCUACAGUGCUGCAGCAGGAACUGCUAAGUGGUGAGCCAGCAGAAAGGCAGAAUAGGAUUAUCAGGUCCUGAGAUCCAGCUGGGAUUCAGAACUGAUUUGGUCUGAGUUCAGGACUGGGUUGAGGGUGCUCCAGAAGUCAGAGGGAGUCCUCAGUGAGUCUGGGUGGGCAGCAGCAACUCCACAGAAAGAGAAGGGAGCUUUCAUUCUAUUUUUCUACACUUUACCUUAUCAAACACAGCGAUGUAGAGUGAAAAACCAAAGGCAUCCUUCAAUUUGGUUUUGUCUGCUAUGAACUGACAGAUCUCUUUGGCAAUGGAAGCAGAGUCUGCAGGGACAGUGAUGCUUUGGCCGUUCAUGAGGGUGACAUUAAACAUAAUGGGUUUCUUCUGCUUUGUUGCCUGUAAGUCAGAAUGAAAUGAGAGAAAAAAAUUAUGGGCAAACCUCACUUUUCUCUGAAGAAUGAAGAAGGCAUUUAGAUUUGAGCUCCACACACUGUACUACGCACUCAACAAUCUAAAAGUGAAUCUCCAAAACCCACACAGUUUCUUCAAUGCACAAAGUUCAUUAAACAGAACUGACCACUGAUGGAAUUCCAGCAGUCAGUGGACUUACACAAGGGAUAAGCAUGACUCAUUACCAGUCUGCAGCUCUGUACCUCAAAACCCAGAGGAGCCUGUCCUUCUUGGCCUCCAAUCAUAGAAGGUUUUGUUAUCAAAGAAGCAUACUAAAUAAGAGAAUUCUUGUAGCUCUGAGAAGGACACAGAUUGCAUGGGGAUUUCCUGCUUUUGAGAUGUCUACUGUUUACCAGAAAUAUUAAGAACAAAUCCUCCUUCCAACCCUUCCUCUUCAUACAAGCUGUGUGUGCCACAGCCCUGCGUUUUGAAAAGCAUCGUGAAAAUAAAAAAAACUGAGCCAAACCAAAUCCUUGUGCAAAAUCUGCAUAGAUACACUGUGCACUCUUACAUGAUGAGCAUGGAAUUUAGGGCUGGUGGAAGGUGUAGAUUGGUGUGUUUCAUACUUAGAAAUGCUGCACAGAGUGUGUUAAGAUGCAUCACAAAGAUAACUGCUUCAAACCAAAGUGACUUCCUUCUUACAAGAUCACUGACCUGUCCUUCAAUCCUCUCAUCACCUUCUGGAUAAGAAGAACCUUAUCUGUGAGUAUAUUUUGGCGUUGCAGCUCCAAUACAGUGUCAUGAUGAUCCUGUUAAAACAAAGUGUGGAUAUGCCAGGUGAGCAGACACACCUACGACCUCUGAAAACUGGGCACAUGGUCUGAAAGAGGCCCAAAAUCAGCAUGAUGGAGCAUAAUGUGAUUAAAAUGCAUUCAUGGGACUUCAGUAGGACGAGUACACACCACCUGAACACACCUGGUCUGUCUAUAGCCAUAAACAAGCAGUCAGACUGUUUUACCUGGGGGAAUGCUACAGGCAAGGUGGUUUCCUGCAACAGUGUACUGGUAUCCCAUUCUUUUUUAUGCUCCAGUACAUUGCACUGUACUGUUUCAGCUGCAAAGAUGGCACACAGGAACAGGAUCAGCCUCUCCUACACCUAACUGUCUCUACUGAAUUAUUUGGCCUUCAGGAACAAAGAUACAGCUUCAGAUUCAAGAGAGUUUAUAAGACAACCGAGUCCUCCAAGGUCACCACUCUUGCACAAGCAGGUCAAACUGUACUGUGAAGCAUCCAGUCUUUCAGGAGAAGAGACAAUAAACUGUCCUUUUUACUUACUUUAAGGAAAAUCUUGGUCCUUCCAACUUGCCAGCUUUCAUCCUUGCCCAGCACUGCCUCGGAGAUGCUGAUGCAGCUCUGUCGAGCAUCAUUCUUCAGCUGAUGUGCAAAAGCAUGAUGAUGUUAGGGCUUGGUUGUGAAACACAGCAGCUGUGCUAUAGGUAAGGAUCUACUGCCCUGCAUUUCAAAGGGCGAAGAACAGAAAGAGGUGAGGUCUUACUGACCUCUGGGCUGACAGUAUAAUGAAUGAAAGUGGUUCAACUCAAAUGGUCAGGAAAAGGAGGAACACGACUGCAUGGCCAAGCAUUCCAGAGUUCAAGUGUGAGGAGGAUGUCAGAGACCUGAGAAGUAUGUGAUUACAGAAAAGAAACAUCUGAAGGCACAUCCUGCCUGGGAUGUCUGUAUGGAGCAGGCCAAUGACAGCUGGAUCUAAAAACAGCUGUGCAUUUUCAGCUAAGGGCCAAGUGAGUAAGUAUUUAGCUGUAAUUACUGUGGUGACAGUCCCCAUGAUGGCAGCUCCUGCGAUGACAGCUCUCUCAACUGUGCCAGCAGUAAUUCAAGAACUUUCUACCGCGGAAAAGACUAAAGCCUCAUAAGGAAAAGUUAAAUUAGCCUUAAACCAGGUUUUUGCUUACACACCUGUUGUCGAAGAGACCAUGGCAAGAGAACCCUGUAUCUCUCAAAGAACUCCUCAAAGGUGUAGCGGAUUGGGUACCCAGCUUUCCUGAUCUGAAUGGUCUCCAUCAUCCCCGAAUAUCGCAGCUGUUUGAUACACAGCUCCCGGUCGAACAACUGAAGGGGAAAGCACACCAGGAGGAGACUUAGCACUGAAAGAAGGAUGUUUACCUGUCCAUGGCCAGGUGUUCUGGACAGCAGAAAACCACACUGGGACAAAGACAGAGGAAGAAAGAACAGGAUCAGAAAACAGUGCCAGGAGAAUAGACAGAUAAGAGGUUUGUCAAUCAGGAGAAGAAAGAGCAAGCUGCAGCCCAGACCAAGAGCAGAACAAUACUCAAACAACAAACAAUUUCAAAGAUUUCCUAAGAAGCCCUUGUAAAAUGAUCUGGACUCCUUCCUUCUUUGUUUGGAACAGCUGUAAGAGUUUCAACAGCGAGGUACCAGGAAGAGCAAAUUCCAACAGAGAGUGAAGCAGCUGUAUAGUGAACUAAUUUAAAAGAAACAUCUAUGGGGAGAACACAUUGCCUCUCCUAAUCUGUCCCAAAGCCACCUUUGCACUUUUGUAUGUGUAAAACCAAGUGCUACCUGUGAGCUGUGUGCAAAGCCAGGCAUUACAAGUAAAACCAGAAAUUUACCUUUGGGAACCUGCUCUCUUCAUCAAUGAGGGAGAUGAUGUUCAUGGGCUUGAGUGCAAUGACUUCCAGAGCCUGGCGGUUGUCAGUGAAGUCGAUGUUGUUCCAGGCAAUGUGCUCUGCAAGGUAUUCCUCCUGCUCCAGCUUGAAGACAUGGUGCACGAAGAACUGCUGAAGGUGCUCAUUUGCAAUGUUGAUGCAGAGCUGCUCAAAGCUGAGGAAGGACAAGAGGAGAGCCCAUGGUCAUCCUUGGCCAGUGCUGCACUGCUCUCUGGUAUUUUUUUAUUCUCUGUAUUAAAUACAUAUCCAGAGAUACUACUGCUAAAUUCCACAGUGCUGGUGACACCAUCACUGCAUGUUGCCAAUCUCAGCAAUACAAGAGAGGCAUUUUCUGCCAUGGUACAGAUCAGCAGCAGUGAGCCAACUGGUGAUUGAGUGUUGCUGAGUAGGCAAGGAAAGAUCUCUUACGUGUUUCAAGAAAUUCCAGAGAUAAAGGGGAACUGUGAAAAUCUCGACUGCAUGAGCGUGUGACAUGUUUCUGCUCCCACUGGCACUACCAAUUCUUUGGUUAGUUACUCCUUUAUGCUGCACCUGAGUGUUACCUGGUAACUGCUGCGGCACACUGUGUGUGCCUGUGGAGUGCUCACCACAGUGAGGCCCCAUGUGGACUGCAGCCUUUGGGAACAGCAUAAAAUAACAGGAGAGAACACAAAAGAAAGAAGACGGACCAAAUUGAUCCCAGAUCCUGCUCCAAAAGUCAGUGAGGAAUAUUAUCUUGUUGAAGGCAAGAGGCAUCAGUUGAAAUGGAUUGAAAAAAGACUGCAGAGUGUGCUGAUGGUUUGUGAAGGACUGAUGAUAUGGUAACUAAGAGAGCUGCUGCCCCCAGAGAGAACGGAAAACAGAAAUGGUGCUUUGGGACUGGAACCACCAGUGGAAGAGGCAGCAGUGGUACAAUGGUAUACUGACCAGGGACUUUGCUGUCCUGUCCUUAAGAGUGGAGAAAUGCAGCGGCCAAA